rnacentral:rRNA from 1 species
UACGUAGGGGGCCAGCGUUGUCCGGAAUCAUUGGGCGUAAAGCGCGCGUAGGCGGUCAGGUAAGUCCGGUGUGAAAGUCAAAGGCUCAACCUUUGAAUGCCGCUGGAAACUGCCUGACUUGAGUCCGGAAGGGGCGAGUGGAAUUCCUGGUGUAGCGGUGAAAUGCGUAGAUAUCUGGAGGAAUACCGGUGGCGAAGGCGGCAUCCUGGACCGACAUUGACGCUGAACGACGAAAGCUAGGGGAGCAAACGGG